AAGAAGUUCAUGGAGCUGUGGAGGUCGCCAGAGAGAAAAGCAAGACACCCAGGGACCACCAAUCAGCAGCAUGGUUGUAAGGUCCUCCACUUAGGACCUCUGGGGCUACAGAUUUCAAAGAUACUCAUCACAGACAUCCUUUAGCUAUCCUCCUGCCCAAUGCUUACCCAUCAGCUUUAACCUCUCUCACCCAUGUACUGAAGAGUGCCACAGAUAGUGUAGGCUUGAGCUCCCUGGGGCACGUGGCGGGACAGACCAAAGUCUGUCAGUUUCAGAUGGCCUA
rnacentral:lncRNA from 1 species